rnacentral:rRNA from 1 species
GAUGAACGCUGGCGGCGUGCUUAACACAUGCAAGUCGAACGAAGCAUUUGCGACAGAUUUUUUCGGAAUGAAGUUGCUCAUGACUGAGUGGCGGGCGGGUGAGUCACGCGUGGGUAACCUGCCUUGUACUGGGGGAUAGCAGCUGGAAACAGCUGGUAAUACCGCAUAAGCGCACAAUGUAGCAUGACAUGGUUGGAAAAAGUCCGGUGGCAUAGGAUGGAGUCGCGUCUGAUUAGCUAGUUGGUGAGAUAACAGCCCACCAAGGCGACGAUCAGUAGCCGACCUGAGAGGGUGACCGGCCACAUCGGGACUGAGACACGGACUAGACUCGGACGCAGAGGAGCAGUGGGGAAUAUUGCACAAUGGAGGAAACUCUGAUGCAGCGACGCCGCGUGAGUGAAGAAGUAAUUCGUUAUGUAAUGCUCUAUCAGCAGGGAAGAUAGUGACGGUACCUGACUAAGAAGCUCCGGCUAAAUACGUG